CAACUGGUUAAACUCCGCCCAGUCAAGUGCAAUAAAUCGAGUAAUAACAAGCGAUGGAUAAAAAUAUCCGAUCUUAAGGUCAAAACAGUGAUAGUUGAAUGUGGUUGUAUAUAUUAGAUAUAGAUUUUUUAUUAUGUAACUGUAUAACCAAUUCAACACUUUUAUUUUUCCAUUCCCUUUGUGUUGUUUUAAUACAGACGUGAACACCAGCUAUAAUUACGAAUAUUUGUGUGUAGUAACUUCAGUUUUAUUUCAACGUAUGAUAAUUUACUUUCUUCUUAUUACUGUAGUGUAUAGAAAGUGUCAUAAGAAGUGUACAGUUAUGAUUGCCCUAUUGUAUAUAAUAUAUAGGUUUAUGAAAAACAAUACGAUAUGCAUUGCAAUGCUUGUCGUUUUUUUUUUCAGUUACAAACCAUUACAAUAUUAAAUACGUUAUGUAUUGAUCGCUGGAAGGUCAUGACUGACGUUUCGUUAGUCAGACGUUGUUGCAACGUUGUGAGAAUGUAAUUGUAUGUCAUGUAAGAUACGACAUAGAAGAGACGUCAGGACAACAUUGUUAUUGCUUUCAAUAACGUCCAUCUAAUAAUGUUGUGCCUAUUCCUUGGCAGUAAAACUCACUCCACAAGUGAAAAGAGUCAAUCUAUUUUAAUUAUGUGAUGAUUUAAACAGAACAUUAUGGAUAUUUCCUUAUGAAUAUUCGGUUUUAAACAUAUUUAGAUAAUGGCUUAAUUGGUCUUUAUAAAAAUAUUAUUAUUUACUCCAUAAUAAUUGUUCUACUGUAAUUGUGUGUAAAGAACAAAUAAUAUCUUAUGUUCCGAAUAGUUUAAUGUUAUAUUUGCAGUUUGACUUUAGUUUUGUACCGUAAACCAGUAAACAUUAUAUAAGACACUAUUUAUGAUCAAAGUUUGAUUCUUGUGUAGUGUAUCAUUAUGAGCAAUACAAGUACACGUGACAUCAAUUCACUAAUGUAUUUUAUCAUUAAAUUAGACGUAUAGGUCAUAGUAAUUAAGGAUUCUACAAUUUCCAUGUGUGAUGAUGUGUA
rnacentral:lncRNA from 1 species